GAAGGCCCUGGGAACCCAUGAACUGGCCAUGAAACCAGAGGAUGUCACUGACAGGGAGGACCGGCAGGGAGCUAAGUCACUCUUCAAAACAAAAAGCAAAAAUCAGGCCUCAGAGUUGUAUAACUGUAGUUAGAAGACCAAAUUCUUUCAAAGACAGAGAAUGCUAAUCCCUUGCUUCUUUCGGCAUUCUAUAUUCUAACUCUAUGGGGUGCAUUUUAUUUCAUAACCUGGAAAAAAAGAUGUUGUUGCAUUAACUUUGCAAGAUAUGGAAGGAGCUAGCAUUUGUUCAACGUCAGUUACACAACUGGUUAUUUUUCUAAACUUCUCCUCAUUUUAUCCUACAAAAAUCACCUAAGGUGAAUGAGGUUGUUAUUCUUAUUUUUUACAGUUGGGGAUACGAGGUUUUUUAAAGUAACUUGCCCAGAUUAAGUGGUGGAUCUGGGAUUCAGACUCACUGCUAUUAAAAACUAAAGACUGAGUCUUAUUUUCUAUGUUAGUGUUUCUCAAAUAUGCAUGGUAAGAGUUCAGCAGAUUGUGAAACCUCACUACUUUUUAAAAUAAAAUAGAAAAGAAGAGAAAAUAUCAGCAAGCAUGACAUGUUGAAGGGAUUGAGAAAGGGUGAGGCUAAGGUCCCGAGCCUUCGUGAAGCAAUGGAGAAAGUGCCGUCCCAAGGCUCAGUUCCACACGGCGCUGUGAGGCUGAAGGGGCUCACUGGAAGUUCCCCUCACAGGACGCCACCUCACCUGAAACCCUCUUUUUCUGCUACCAUCCAAGGGACAAGAUCUCCUGAGUUGUCGAAGACUCACUCCGGAAGAAAACCCUCUCAGGCAGUUACUGAGGGACUGUGGUCUGGACUAGAACGUGUUUUUCUCAGUGACACCUCUAGAGGGCAGCACUCAACGGAGUCCCACAGACACCUCCCUGCAUUUCCUCCUCAGACACUGGGUGGAUGAUAUGGUAACACUGGGGAAUGCUUGGGUGUUCUCCUGGAAGCUCCUUAUUUUAAUCACCUGUUUACUUGUCUCCAUUCUUAUAGAUAUGUAGGCUACCCGAGGGCAGAGACUGAGUCUGUCUUGUUCACUGUCUACCUCCAGAACCUCACACAGAAUCUGGCACUUAGUAGGUGCACAACAAAAUAAUCAUUGAAUUAGUAUACUGAGUCUUUAACAGAGUCUCUUUCUGUUUAUUGAGUUGACACGAUGUAUCCAAAAGCAGCUGAAUGCACAACUCAAACUGUCAUCCAAGCACACAAAGAAGGCAUUGAUGAAAAAGCUGAGACAGGUUACAACGGGAGUGCCAGAGAGAUGUCACUUAAAAUGAGAACUUCUCAGGGUUUGAGAAAGGUGAGUCCCAAGCCCUCGUGAAGCAUUGGAGAAAGUGCCGCCCCGAGGUUCAGGUCCACACAGCGCUGUGAGGCUGAAGGGGCGCGCUAGAAGUUCCUUUCACAGGACGCCACCUCACCUGAAACCCUCCUUUUCUGCUGACACCCGAGGGACAAGAUCUUCUGAGUUUUUCCAUUACUUACUCUGGAGGAAAACCCUCAGGCAGUUAGUUACUGAGGGACUCUGGUCUGGACUGGGAAGUGUUUUUCUCAGUGACACCUCUAGAAGGCAGCACUUAGCGGAGUCCCACAGACACCUCCCAGCAUUUCCUGCUCAAACACUGGGAGGAUGGCCUGGUAACACUGGGGAAUGCCUGGGUGUUCUAGAAGCCCCCACCCCUGAUUUUAACCACGUGUUUUCUUAUCUGAGUCCUUGUAGACAUGUAUGUAGUCUGCCUUAGGGCAGGAAUUGUGUCUACCUUGUUCACUGCCAAUCCUCAGGACAGAACCUGGCACUUAAUAGGUGCACAACAAAAUAACCACUGGCUGAAUAUACUCAGUAUUUAACAGGCAGUUUGUCACAAUCCACUCCCUCCCUGACCUCAUUGUGGUUUAUAGUUUAUGUUUAAUGACAUUUAGUUUCCAUGUACUUAGCAUUUUAUUGUAUAAAUUUCUCAUAUAUAUAAAAAAUACACAUAAAAUACAAUGGUCCUCUUUGUUUCAAUCAUCUAGCUGCAGUAAUCACCAACCCAAGCCUGUCUUUCAUUUGUAUGCCCAGCUUCUCUCCUCCUCUGUCAUAAUAUGAAACAAAUCUGAGGUAUCAUAUUAUCUCAUCCUAAAUACUUCAGUGUGUAUCUCUGAAACAUAACAGAAACAUCAUACCUAACAUCACAAAAUGACACUAAAAAAUUUAACAGUAAUUCUUUAAUAUUAUCUAACAUUCAAUCAAUAUUCAGGUUUCUAAUUUUUAUGUGUCAUAAGUUAUAUUUUAUAGUUUGUUUAAAUCCUAAUGCAAAUAAGGUCCACUCAUUGUGAUUAGUUAAUUCUUUUCAAAAUAUAUUUUAAUUGUUCAUGUGUUCUUUUUCAUGUGCUCUUUAAUGGACAGAUUUUUAAAUUUUCAUUUGGUAAAAUUUGUCCAUUUUAAAAAAAUAACUGGGGAUGCUUUUAUUUGAGGCCAAAAUAUUCACAGGUCAUCUAGUAUGGAAGUCUCUUGGCUUACUAAAAUAUUUUGAUACAGUCAAUUAGGUCCAACUUAAGAUGACCUAACUUAGAACAUACCUCCACUCCAGCUGCAGCCAAGAGCCACCGGAUGGGCUCCAUUCUGCCCCGUCCAUUGAAGUAGUGAAGCUUGGGCUUCCCUGCCAUGAAUUGGAAAAAACUUCUUUAAAGUUCAUAUGGAACAAAAAAGAGCCCGCAUCAUCAAGUCAAUCCUAAGCCAAAAGAACAAAGCUGGAGGCAUCACACUAUCUCACUUCAAACUAUACUACAAGGCUACAGUAACCAAAACAGCAUGGUACUGGUACCAAAACAGAGAUAUAGAUCAAUGGAACAGAACAGAGCCCUUAGAAAUAACGCCGCAUAUCUACAACUAUCUGAUCUUUGACAAACCUGACAAAAACAAGCAAUGGGGAAAGGAUUC
rnacentral:lncRNA from 1 species